rnacentral:rRNA from 1 species
CAGUAGCCGCGGGAAUACGUAGGUCCCGAGCGUUGUCCGGAUUUAUUGGGCGUAAAGCGAGCGCAGGCGGUUAGAUAAGUCUGAAGUUAAAGGCUGUGGCUUAACCAUAGUACGCUUUGGAAGCUGUUUAACUUGAGUGCAAGAGGGGAGAGUGGAAUUCCAUGUGUAGCGGUGAAAUGCGUAGAUAUAUGGAGGAACACCGGUGGCGAAAGCGGCUCUCUGGCUUGUAACUGACGCUGAGGCUCGAAAGCGUGGGGAGCAAACAGGAUUAGAUACCCGAGUAGUCCCUGUCUCUUAUCCC